UCCAGAGAGUGCAAUCGUUAAUCGGAAUUAUUGGGCGUAAAGGGUGUGUAGGUGGUUAAAAUAGUUAAAUGUGAAAUCCCAAAGCUUAACUUUGGAACGGCAUUUAAUACUUUUUGACUAGAGUAUUGUAGGGGAAAGUAGAAUUUUCGGUGUAGCGGUGAAAUGCGUAGAUAUCGAAAGGAAUACCAGAGGCGAAGGCGACUUUCUGGGCAAAUACUGACACUGAAACACGAAAGCGUGGGGAGAAAACAGG
rnacentral:rRNA from 1 species